rnacentral:rRNA from 1 species
UACGUAGGGGGCUAGCGUUGUCCGGAUUUAUUGGGCGUAAAGAGCGUGUAGGCGGCCAGGUAGAUCCGCUGUGAAAGUCCGAGGCUCAACCUCGGAAUGUCGGCGGAAACCCUCUGGCUAGAGUCCGGAAGAGGAGAGUGGAAUUCCCGGUGUAGCGGUGAAAUGCGCAGAUAUCGGGAAGAACACCCGUGGCGAAGGCGGCUCUCUGGAACGGUACUGACGCUGAGACGCGAAAGCGUGGGGAGCGAACAGG